UACGUAGGGUGCGAGCGUUACUCGGAAUUACUGGGCGUAAAGCGUGCGCAGGCGGUUCGCCAAGUCAGGUGUGAAAUCCCCGGGCUUAACCUGGGAAUUGCGCUUGAAACUAGCGGGCUUGAGUGUGGCAGAGGGGGGUGGAAUUCCACGUGUAGCAGUGAAAUGCGUAGAUAUGCGGAGGAACACCGAUGGCGAAGGCAAUCCCCUGGACCUGUACUGACGCUCAUGCACGAAAGCGUGAGGAGCAAACAGG
rnacentral:rRNA from 1 species